rnacentral:sRNA from 1 species
CGAAAAACCAGCGUCAGUCGGACGCUGGCGAGGACUUCAACAAGGCCGUCAGAUACCGUGCAGGGGGUCGGCAAAACGGUGACGCGUUGCGUCUGAUGGGACCGGGGGCAGUGGUAAAAAGGUUCACGCCCUGCAACCAACGUGGACGGAUUCUAUUCAGCGUUUUAUAGAUCGUCAACACUAUAGAUAGGCAAAACUAUAACUAAUUGUAA